rnacentral:rRNA from 1 species
GAUGAACGCUGGCGGCGUGCCUAAUACAUGCAAGUCGAGCGAACGGACGAGAAGCCUGCUUCUCUGAUGUUAGCGGCGGACGGGUGAGUAACACGUGGAUAACCUACCUAUAAGACUGGGAUAACUUCGGGAAACCGGAGCUAAUACCGGAUAAUAUUUUGAACCGCAUGGUUCAAAAGUGAAAGACGGUCUUGCUGUCACUUAUAGAUGGAUCCGCGCUGCAUUAGCUAGUUGGUAAGGUAACGGCUUACCAAGGCAACGAUGCAUAGCCGACCUGAGAGGGUGAUCGGCCACACUGGAACUGAGACACGGUCCAGACUCCUACGGGAGGCAGCAGUAGGGAAUCUUCCGCAAUGGGCGAAAGCCUGACGGAGUAACGCCGCGUGAGUGAUGAAGGUCUUCGGAUCGUAAAACUCUGUUAUUAGGGAAGAACAUAUGUGUAAGUAACUGUGCACAUCUUGACGGUACCUAAUCAGAAAGCCACGGCUAACUACGUG